rnacentral:tRNA from 1 species
GGGGGUAUAGCUCAAUAGUGAAGCACUUGCCUGGCAUGUGCAAGGCUCUGGGUUCAAUCCCUAGUAUCACCA